GACGAACGCUGGCGGCGUGCUUAACACAUGCAAGUCGAACGGAAAGGCCCUGCUUUUGUGGGGUGCUCGAGUGGCGAACGGGUGAGUAACACGUGAGUAACCUGCCCUUGACUUUGGGAUAACUUCAGGAAACUGGGGCUAAUACCGGAAAGGAGCUCCUGCUGCAUGGUGGGGGUUGGAAAGUUUCGGCGGUUGGGGAUGGACUCGCGGCUUAUCAGCUUGUUGGUGGGGUAGUGGCUUACCAAGGCUUUGACGGGUAGCCGGCCUGAGAGGGUGACCGGCCACAUUGGGACUGGGAUGAGGCCCAGCCUCCUACGGGAGGCAGCAGUGGGGAAUAUUGCACAAUGGGCGGAAGCCUGAUGCAGCAACGCCGCGUGCGGGAUGACGGCCUUCGGGUUGUAAACCGCUUUCGCCUGUGACGAAGCGUGAGUGACGGUAAUGGGUAAAGAAGCACCGGCUAACUACGUG
rnacentral:rRNA from 1 species